rnacentral:lncRNA from 1 species
UUCGGGGGCUGAUUUUUGGGCGCGGCUGUGCCCGUGGCCUAUUUUUGGCACACGGAGGCCGCCCGCAAAGUCUGGGGCCAUUCCGAGUCCGGCGGACGAACUUCGCCCGCGCCCCCCACCAAGGCUAUAGCCCACCCGUUUUUUGGCCAUUUUUCCGCUGGGGGGUCUUGGCACCCCGACCUUCGGGGGCUGAUUUUUCGGCGCGGCUGUGCCCGUGGCCUAUUUUUGGCACACGGAGGCCGCCCGCAAAGUCUGGGGCCAUUCCGAGUCCGGCAGACGAACUUCGCCCGCGCCCCCCACCAAGGCUAUAGCCCACCCGUUUUUUGGCCAUUUUUCCGCUGGGGGGUCUUGGCACCCCGACCUUCGGGGGCUGAUUUUUGGGCGCGGCUGUGCCCGUGGCCUAUUUUUGGCACACGGAGGCCGCCCGCAAAGUCUGGGGCCAUUCCGAGUCCGGCGGACGAACUUCGCCCGCGCCCCCCACCAAGGCUAUAGCCCACCCGUUUUUUGGCCAUUUUUCCGCUGGGGGGUCUUGGCACCCCGACCUUCGGGGGCUGAUUUUUGGGCGCGGCUGUGCCCGUGGCCUAUUUUUGGCACACGGAGGCCGCCCGCAAAGUCUGGGGCCAUUCCGAGUCCGGCGGACGAACUUCGCCCGCGCCACCCACCAAGGCUAUAGCCCACCAAUUUUUUGGCCAUUUUUCCGCUGGGGGGUCUUGGGACACCGACCUUCGGGGGCUGAUUUUUGGGCGCGGCUGUGCCCGUGGCCUAUUUUUGGCACACGGAGGCCGCACGCAAAGUCUGGGGCCAAUCCGAGUCCGGCGGACGAACUUCCCCCGCGCCCCACACCAAGGCUAUAGCCCACCCAUUUUUUGGCCAUUUUUUCCGCUGGGGGGUCUUGGCACCCCGACUUUCGGGGGCUGAUUUUUGGGCGCGGCUGUGCCCGUGGCCUAUUUUUGGCACACGGAGGCCGCCCGCAAAGUCUGGGGCCAUUCCGAGUCCGGCGGACGAACUUCGCCCGCGCCCCCCACCAAGGCUAUAGCCCACCCUUUUUUUGGCCAUUUUUCCGCUGGGGGGUCUUGGGACCCCGACCUUCGGGGGCUGAUUUUUGGGCGCGGCUGUGCCCGUGGCCUAUUUUUGGCACACGGAGGCCGCCCGCCAAGUAUGGUGCCAUUCCGAGUCCCGCGGACGAACUUCGCCCACGCCCCCCACCAAGGCUAUAGCCCACCCGAUUUUUGGCCAUUUUUCAGCUGGGAGGUCUUGGGACCCCGACCUUCGGGGGCUGAUUUUUGGGAGCGGCUGCACCCGUGGCCUAUUUGUGGCACACGGAGGCCGCCCGCCAAGUCUGGGGCCAUUCCGAGUCCCGCGGACGAACGUCGCCCACGCCCCCCACCA